rnacentral:rRNA from 1 species
CUACGGGAGGCAGCAGUGGGGAAUAUUGGACAAUGGGGGCAACCCUGAUCCAGCCAUGCCGCGUGUGUGAAGAAGGCCCUCGGGUUGUAAAGCACUUUCAGUGAGGAAGAACGCCUGGUGGUUAAUACCCAUCAGGAAAGACAUCACUCACAGAAGAAGCACCGGCUAACUCCGUGCCAGCAGCCGCGGUAAUACGGAGGGUGCGAGCGUUAAUCGGAAUUACUGGGCGUAAAGCGCGCGUAGGUGGCUUGAUAAGCCGGUUGUGAAAGCCCCGGGCUCAACCUGGGAACGGCAUCCGGAACUGUCAAGCUAGAGUGCAGGAGAGGAAGGUAGAAUUCCCGGUGUAGCGGUGAAAUGCGUAGAGAUCGGGAGGAAUACCAGUGGCGAAGGCGGCCUUCUGGACUGACACUGACACUGAGGUGCGAAAGCGUGGGUAGCAAACAGGAUUAGAUACCCUUGUAGUC